rnacentral:lncRNA from 1 species
UGAAACUGCACCUCUGGAAUUUGGUCGCAGUUAUUUAGGGUGGAGAAGCGGGCUCUGGCAACUAGAGAAGGUGGCCGCAGCAUGGGGACACCCGAAUUGAGGAGCUGUUUGGGCAAUAAGCUGAUUUAGAGAAUUAAGACCUCCACAGAUGGGAGUGGAAUCCGCAACUGCUCAAUCCAUCCACUGAGAAGUCCCAUAAAAGAUGGACAAUCCAUAACUGAAACCCAACCUUCGGCACAACGAUCAAAUUCUACAUGCAUAAAGCAAGAGAUCUGUGUGCCAGAUCCAUCUUAAAGGCACCCCACCCAGAGGACAGAGUCUGUCUCCUUCCCCUAAACAAUAUGCAGAAACCACCCUGGUAAGUCAAUACCUGUGGUUGACAUGAAUAUUUCUUCUCUUCCUCUCUCAACUCAGGGAAAAUCACAGUUCAUCCCCUGAUACCAGUAAGACAAAAUAAUAAUGCCUUGUUUUUCAGAACUCAAACCUGUCGUCAGUUUGUAUGGUGGCUUCUCUGAUCUCCUUUCAAGGAUGAGAACUGAAUGAAUAUUUGCACAAGUUAUUUUGCCAAAGUUUCCUUAACAUCAGAUCCAAUAUCCUUAUUACAUAUUUCACCAUAAAAUAGUAAAAGAGAAUGUAAUAAUAAAGUAGUGAUAUAAAAUGAUACCACCCAUACUUCUAAAAACAUAGAUUGAAGAUAUAAUUCUACCACCCAAACAUAAUCAAGGUUACUAACAUCGUAUUU